UAUAAGUGAGAUUGCUGACACACAAGGAGGAUGAGUUCCACAUAUGCUCAAAUACAAAACUAUCCCUCAUAAACAGAAUAACCUCAUGGUUGAGUCCUUUGGUACUGCUUAAAAUUUGGGUCACUCUCAGUUACCUUAUUUUACACAAUAAAAUAGCAUGAGAUGGAGACAUCUUAAUUUGAAACAUUCUCAGUCAUAGCUGGAGUUGGAUGAAUCUAGAAAUAUAAUUUAAAUUAAAAAAAAAUUCAGGAGAAAGAUACUUACUUUGAGAUAAAAACUAUUAGGGUCAAAAUAUUGCCAUUGAGAACAGUGAGCAAGUGUGUGCCAGUGUCAGAUAUUGUAUGCAUCCAAAGACAAUGGCUUUCAAGGAGAAAUUCUGAAGGAAGUUUGGCCUCCUGUCUUAGUAUUCAGAUUUAAAUCUUGGCAUUUAAAAAUGUUAAAUUAAUGACCGAUCAAUUCCAAAUAAAUUACCAUCUUUAGAGGUGACGCUAAUCAAUGGAGGACAUGGCAUGGUUGGUUUGAGAAAGGCCUCAUUUGACAUUGAGGAAGAUGGGAUAAUGAUGGCUUAGUAUUUGUGAUUUCUACUCCAGGUCAUUAAAACAGCAAACUUAAUAGCUCUAAUUUUUCUAAAACUCGACCCAUGCAUGCAUUAAAAUAAUCAGCCUAAAAGCUUGAUUUGUAUUUGAUUAGAAUUAAAAGACACUAUAUGUCACAAUGGUAUUUGAUGACAACCCCUGAAAUGAAAAUAUCUUGACUUAAAUACUGUGCUGGCCAUUAGUAGUCUCAUCAACACACAGAAUAGGAAGAGUAGAUUUGCAUUCUAGUGAUCAUGAGUCAAGUGAACAUAGAACUUUUAAGAGACAAGUCAGGUUGAGAGAAAUGCCAUAUAUGAAACUUACGUCCUAAAGGAAAGAAGUUGAGCUCUAAGUUAACUAGUCUUUGGAAAUUUGUGAUUCUGUUCAUGGCAUGUAGAACUUAGAGACUGGUGAUAUUUUUGUGUGGUCUCUAAACUGUUGCCCAUUAGCCAGUUCAUCCUCACCUGUCCUCUAAGCUAAUCACAAAUUUGCAUCCAGAUUAUAUAAAUGUCAAGGUCACAGAAAAAUAUGAACGCAGCCAAAAUUAGCUAUGCUUUCUAAAAUGUUUGUUCCACCCAUAAAAGCUUUGCUUAAUUAUACAAAUAAAGACUUUUGUUUGUUCAUCAUAAAAAAAAAUCUAUUCAAUACUCUUUUUCUUUUUCUUGCUAUUAUUUAUCCUCACUCCCAGAUCGACUUUGCCUAAAUUAACUGGCCACUGCAAAUCAAGAUAAGAAAAGCAAGAUUACUUUCAGUACAAAAUUGUAUAGACAGACACUGAAUUCAGUCUGCUUCUUGGGUCCUUUCUCUGGCUCAAAGUUAAGAUGCUCUUGUAAUGUUCCAUUUAGGAGCUUAAUGUUUUUCCGAUAAAGUGAUUAUAAAGUUUAUAUGUUUAAUUAAUUUGCAGCUAAAUAAUUGUAGGCCCUGCUCUUCUCAGUGAAGGAGGAAAACUAACAACAAUAGAGGGAAGUUUUUCUUUUCAAACAUGAGACAAGAAAGAGACCAAAAAGUUUAUUGAUUCUAAUUUCAUCAUGUUAUAGCUAAGGAAACUCAGCCCAAAUGAGUUACAUAUCUUGGCUCAAGUGCUAACAUUAGCCAAUGAAAGUGCCAGGACUAAAACUCCUAAUUCCUAAUCCAUUGUUCUUUGUACACAGUGUAAUUUGCAAAACACCUUUAUUUGUUACUUCAUUUGACUCUCAAAAAUGUCUUUGGAAGUUACCUAGUAAGAAAACUGAAACUUAAACUCACAGAUUUAAAAUAUAGUUCAAGUUAUAUUUAAAAUAUAAGUUUAAAUCAGCUGGCUCCUCAAUUUUAUCUUUAGCCCUUACCUGUCCCUGGAUACCAAACUCAUAUAUCCACCUGCCCUCCUGACAUAUCUAAUUAAAUAUCUACUUUGUAUCUCAAACUUAACAUGCCAAAAUAAAAUCUCGAUCUCCUUAUCCAUCCUCUGUUCUUACCCAGCGGAACCAUGGGCUUUCAAAUCUUAUUAGAUGGUA
rnacentral:lncRNA from 10 species